GGGUUGUGAGGUUAAGCGACUAAGCGUACACGGUGGAUGCCCUGGCAGUCAGAGGCGAUGAAGGACGUGCUAAUCUGCGAUAAGCGUCGGUGAGGUGAUAUGAACCGUUAUAACCGGCGAU
rnacentral:rRNA from 1 species